GGAUGGGAGGGUGAUCUGGCUGCAGCAUCUGUCACACCAUUGAACACUAGGGUUGAUUCAACUGAUCUAGCUGGCUAGACAGGUGUCCCCCUCCUCCCUCACUUCUCCAUGUACAUCCCUCCCAAGGCUGCACACUGUGUCAAAAAGAACAACCAUCUCUGACAGAGGAAUACCAGUCUUUGAUCAAGGAUGUAUGAGUAGCUGUAAUCCCCUACUAGAACUUCCAAACAAGGUUUUAAGAUGCAGAAACCUUCACAAGGUCCUGAGAGCAGUGGGUGUGUCCUAGGAUUACAAAUGAGAUUUAGACUACCAUC
rnacentral:snRNA from 1 species